GCGGCUAUGGCGAAAUAGGUAGACGCGCUAGACUUAGAAUCUAGUGGGAUGACCAUGCAGGUUCGAUUCCUGUUAGCCGCACCA
rnacentral:tRNA from 1 species